rnacentral:tRNA from 1 species
GGGCCUGUAGCUCAGUUGGUCAGAGCAGUGGACUCAUAAUCCAUUGGUCGUAGGUUCAAGUCCUACCGGGCCCACCA